rnacentral:rRNA from 1 species
GUCCGAAUAGGGCGACAGUCGCUGGGUGUAGACCCGAAACCAGGUGAUCUACCCAUGGCCAGGAUGAAGGUGCGGUAACACGCCCUGGAGGUCCGAACCCACUAAUGUUGAAAAAUUAGGGGAUGAGCUGUGGGUAGGGGUGAAAGGCCAAUCAAACUUCGUGAUAGCUGGUUCUCUCCGAAAUGCAUUUAGGUGCAGCGUUGCGUGUUUCUUGCCGGAGGUAGAGCUACUGGAUGGCUAAUGGGCCCCACCGGGUUACUGACGUCAGCCAAACUCCGAAUGCCGGUAAGUGAGAGCGUGGCAGUGAGACUGCGGGGGAUAAGCUUCGUAGUCGAGAGGGAAACAGCCCAGAUCAUCAGCUAAGGCCCCUAAGCGUGUGCUAAGUGGGAAAGGAUGUGGAGUUGCGCAGACAACCAGGAGGUUGGCUUAGAAGCAGCCACCCUUGAAAGAGUGCGUAAUAGCUCACUGGUCAAGUGAUUCCGCGCCGACAAUGUAACGGGGCUCAAGCACGCCACCGAAGUUGUGGCAUUGACAUUAUUGGUAGGCCUUCGUGGUCCAGCCGUGUUGAUGGGUAGGAGAGCGUCGUGUGGCCAGCGAAGCGGCGGUGUGAACCAGCCGUGGAGGCCACACGAGUGAGAAUGCAGGCAUGAGUAGCGAAAGACGUGUGAGAAACACGUCCUCCGAAAGACCAAGGGUUCCAGGGCCAGGUUAAUCCGCCCUGGGUAAGUCGGGACCUAAGGCGAGGCCGACAGGCGUAGUCGAUGGACAACGGGUUGAUAUUCCCGUACCGGCGAAGAACCGCCCAAGCUAAUCCAGUAGUGCUAAGUGUCUGAAUCCCAGUGACCGAUCCCUUCGGGGUGACGCUCUGGGCCUAGCGCACGACCCCAUUCUGGUGCGGUUAGCGUAUUAACAGGUGUGACGCAGGAAGGUAGCCCAACCCGGGCGAUGGUUGUCCCGGGGCAAGUGCGUAGGCCGAGAGAUAGGCAAAUCCGUCUCUCAUUAAGGCUGAGACACGAUGCGGAUAAAAAGUGGGUGAUCCUAUGCUGCCAAGAAAAGCAUCGACGCGAGGUUCUAGCCGCCCGUACCCCAAACCGACUCAGGUGGUCAGGUAGAGAAUACCAAGGAGAUCGAGAGAAUCGUGGUUAAGGAACUCGGCAAAAUGCCCCCGUAACUUCGGGAGAAGGGGGGCCGGAACCGUGAUGGGAUUUACUCCCGGAGCGGGAAAGGCCGCAGAGACCAGUGGGAAGCGACUGUUUACUAAAAACACAGGUCCGUGCCAAGUCGCAAGACGAUGUAUACGGACUGACGCCUGCCCGGUGCUGGAACGUUAAGGGGACCGGUUACUGCACCUUGUGUGUGGGAAGCUGAGAACUUAAGCGCCAGUAAACGGCGGUGGUAACUAUAACCAUCCUAAGGUAGCGAAAUUCCUUGUCGGGUA